CUGUCCUAUGAAGGGAAAACAGAAUACACGGAAGCUCAAGUGUCAAAGAGAGCCGGGGAAUAAAGGGGUUCUGCUCUUAUUCUACUUUGAGACAGGAAUCAAGCAGAGUUGUCCUCUGAGAGGCUCCACACUGCAGUGCUUCGACACAGAUGCUGAGACUCACAGCCAAACAUUGGGUGAGGCAUAGGGAGCCUUGUGGAAAAGGGGAAGGAGAAAAGGACCUGGAGGUAACAGGAGCUUAACAAGAAGACCAGCAGAGACAACUAAACAGGGCUAAGAGGGGCCUGCUGAGACUGAAGCAUCAACAGAGAACCUUUCAUAGACUGGACCUAGGCCCCCUACAAAGAUGGUUGUUGGAAAACAUGGCUCAUCACAACAUUUGAAAAUCAAUGGCUUUUACUGUCAUGUGCUGUGGACAAAGGACUUUCGCUUUCCAAAUGGCAUCUUCACUGGCUUAUGUCAACAGUCAUCAUGCAAGUCAUUCAUUGCUGCAGCACCAACCAGGAGAAGCUUGUCUGGUGGCACUAACCUCCAUUUUCAGAGGCGUCUACAAAUGGGAACGUAAAGUCUGUUAAAGAGUGAAUAGAUGAGUAUCAGCCAAGAUCCUGAGUUAUAAAUAGCAGACUCUAUUGUAGAAAAAGGAUGCAUUUAAAGGCAUCCACAUUUAAGAGAGCAGGCUACUUCCUCUCUCAGGUCCUGGAACCCAGCCAGAGAACUUGUUUUGAUGCACUGAUGGAGCCACAUAGUCAUGAGAAUUUCUAAUGCUAAUAUGGGUCAGUUACGGCGAAUCCCACUGCUAAUAAUGUCCAUCUUGUACCUCUGGUGUUGCCUGAACCUUAAUCCUAGCUGCCCAGAAGAAACAAGAGCUUGGUUCUUGUCUCAAGAAUGUAGCUUCUACACUGUGCCAUGCCACUUUGUAUUUUUCUGAUUUGAGUGAAUGCAUCUCUUUACAAGACAGCUGAUUCUAUCUGCAAGAAAUCUUGGAAAAUGAGGUCCCCCCCAUUUCUGAGGCCAUCACAGCAUAUCAAAAAGCUUUUAUCCUUCCUUCCUUCCUUCCUUCCUUCCUUCCUUCCUUCCUUCUUUCAUUCUUUCUUUCUCUCUUUCUCCCACCUUCUCUCUUUCUUUCUAUGUAUCAAUCAAUCAUUUAUUUAUCUAUUUCUAUUUCAAUAUUGGGGACAGAAUCCAGGCCUCACAAUUCUAGGCAAGUCCUCUACCAUUAAGCCACCAUUAGCCUGAGAUGGAUAUUAGAACAGGUAGUGGGUAAAUCCAUUUGUAGCAGUGGUUGCUACAUUGCCUCAUUUUCAUUUAACACAUGGGAUUAAUUUCAUUAAGUGAUGAUCAUUUUUCUUACCACUUCUUUACAAAAUUUAAAAAUAAUUGCUUAUAUAGUGACAAAAUAGUGAUAAAUGUCUAAAACUAUAAUAGUAGUAAACAGCACCAUAAACCCUAGCACUAAAUAAUAUGCAUGCUGUGAUUCUCAUAAGACAAAUAUUGUAUGCCAAAAUUGAAUGCCAAGGCAAUAAAAAUCAAUGCUAAACUUCAUUACUUGGGCAAAAUAAAAUUUAAUAUUGAUGUCAA